rnacentral:lncRNA from 1 species
CUGGCGCACAUCUCACAAGGGGCAGGGUGGCGAGGCGGACGUUUCACAGCCGCUGCGACCGCGGCUUCCUCGCACUUCUGGGGGACGAAAUUGCAGCUGAGGUCCCCCCGCAAAGAGCACCCGAGAUACCUGUCUGCUGGACGGCCUCCGGGGCCGCGGGAGGGCUGGGGAGACGUGGUCGUGGUUGCGGCCUUGGCAAGGACAUUCAAGAAUUGGAAGAAUAUUGGGGUGAAACUGAACUGGGCCUGCACAGUCUCAUCUAAAGAAAUGUCUGCAGGACCAAUGCUGAAAGUAUCUUCUCUCUUUGAAAAUUUGAAACCAAAAUUUGGCAGGGGAAUUCUCACACAAGCCCUAUGCAAUUAACCCAGGCGCAGAGCUGCGCUUCAUCUGUUCUACUAGUACAAGAAACCCACGUAGCCUU